AGGUCUGUACUGCAACAUCUCAGCUACCCAGCUCAGCAUUCACAAACCCAAGUUCUUUCUAGUGGUUACAUGUAGUAAUUCCCUCAUCCCAGCAGAAGAGACAGCAUCUUACCAGGAGGAUGCUGGUUUGAUGCUGAUCCUCAGAGACAUAUUUAUUUGGGGUAGACCUGUUUAUUUAUUUAUCCUGUGUUGUUUUUCUUCCUGGGAACAAGCAACAAGUUCAUUGCCUUGAUGGGAAAUAGAGGUUGAACUUUUCGAUUCUUCACAACAGAAAAAGAGGGAGCAAGUUUGAAUAAUACAAAAUGAGAUGCUAAGUGAUGGGGAAAGGAAGACAUCAACCUGAAAAUGGUUUGAAAAUAGAUUGAAAUGUUUUUUUGCAAAGUGGCUAGGUUUUAAGUUGCCAGGCUCUCUUAAAAUGAACUCCUUUCCAAAGCUGUCAUUUAUAUGGCAUAAUAAUGGUUGGUCUUCGCUGGAUGCAAGAGUUCCAUUCAUUCACACCAGCACUGUGCAAGCUAUACACAUCAGCCAGAUGUUCAGGCAUUUGCCUAAUGUGAGACACCUGAGUUGAGCCUGACUGCCUAUAGGGAGCCCAAAUCAAGGCUGAUCCUUACAUAUCCGUCCCUUCCAAGUUGGGAUAUUCUAUGAUUUCUAUUCUUCCUGUGCCCAGGAAGACCCAAGCUACAAGACAAUCCUGGCUUUCUUGUCCUGCUUCAAUGAAAUCCCCAGAACCUUUCAGAAGACUAUGUAGGAAAAUACUGAUGACUUCAGCUCACGAGUUCACAGUCUUCACUGCUUUGGACAGCAGUCUACUGGAAGGUAGUCUCUGCUACUACUCCGUAUUGAACAUAAAGGCUGAUUGGGCAAGGCUGGACUUUUCCUGGUGAGGUUCCUCACAGCAGGAGCUCUCAUGGUUUGAGGUGUCCUGGAAGUGAAACUUGAGUGAAAUCCAAAACAUACAAAAGCUCUACAUAAACCUCCUGAAAAUCAGCUCUGAAGUCUUGGGCAGUUCUUCCAUUUGCAAAUGGACUGUCAGUACUCUUCCAGAAAUGCUUUCAAGUUCAUCAAAAUGUUACAGCCCUUCAUUGCUCUGAUUGCUACUCAUAUAUUUUGCUUUGUUCCGGAGUUAAAUUCUGUAUAUCUACUUCUGUCAGCUCUGCACAGCACCGAAAUGAUGGCUGAUUCAGAAGGUAAUGGAAAUUUUUUUUCCAGGUCAGUAAAUAUAAACUUAGGAUUCAGCAUGCAAACUAGUGAUGUUGAAGGAACAGAUUCAUGCUUUCAACCCUAAACAGAAAAGUCAAGCUCUUAUUUAAGCGGGGCUGGAAAU
ensembl:lncRNA